GUUUUGGGGACGUCCUUUAUACCAAGGAGGGGGUCGUCCGAGUUCGGCAGCCGCAGGAUGCACGGAGCAAACACGAUGGCCAGAGAACUGGGCGUCAUCUUGUUGUGCUGCUCCUCCUUUGCAACCCUGAAGCCCAGAGCAGACAUCAACAACCAUCGUCUCACUGAAUGUGAGCGAACAGGAAGAACAUCUCUGCUCCUCACCCACGGCGUGCAGGAAGUCGGUGUAGAGCGAGUAGGUCAUGAGCGGGUCGGGCAGCUCCCGGAGCCAGCGCUUGACCAGGCCUGUGAUGAUGUGGAUGGGGUAGUUCUCCAGCUGAGCCUCUUCAGGAUCUGACGCAGCAAAAUGAAGAGAAAAUCAGCUGGAAGCUGAAACGAGGAACGCCACCAUUCUGGGGUUUCAGAGCCGAAUCGGAGGGAAAGUGAAUCGCCGCGUCGCUGCUGCGUAUCAGCAUGUUGACAGUCAAAGUGUCAAAAACAGGCUGAGCUACAUUUAAGUAUUGUUUGAUUACAUCUAGAGCUGUCAAAUGAUCCAAAAACCAAAUUAAAUCCAGAUAUUUCAAUGCGUUAA